AAGUCGUAACAAGGUUUCCGUAGGUGAAUCUGCGGAAGAAUCAUUACCCCGUGAACCUUCAUCCUGCUCUUGUAACCCGCGUAGUUCGCAAUCUCUGAUAAAUCAUAGCCCGGAAAGUUGUAGUGAUUCGAACAUUGGAACAGUUACAAUCGAGCGGUAGUUCUAUAGGCAAUGUUUCCCUAAGCAGUCAGUGUCGGAAAGUGUCAUUGAUUGUGCAAGGAUAGCGCUUCUACGAUUCCUGGAGACCGUACACUCGGGCAGGAGCUUUGCCAAAGGGUCCCCAUGUGAAGCUCAAUGUAAUACAUUGGGUAAAAAAACCGAACAACUGUUAACAAUGGAUAUCUUGGUUCUC
rnacentral:misc_RNA from 1 species